UACGGGGGGAGCAAGCGUUGUUCGGAUUUACUGGGCGUAAAGAGUGUGUAGGUGGUGUCGUAAGUUUGGUGUGAAAUCUCCCGGCUUAACUGGGAGGGUGCGCCGAAGACUGCGAUGCUGGGGUAUGGGAGAGGAAAGCGGAAUUCCUGGUGUAGCGGUGAAAUGCGUAGAUAUCAGGAGGAACACCUGCGGUGUAGACGGCUCUCUGGACCAUUACUGACACUGAGACACGAAAGCGUGGGUAGCAAACAGG
rnacentral:rRNA from 1 species